CCUAGCAGUCUUCAUAUUUUCAUGCUGGCAUUGGAGUUCAUUUGACAUAGAUGCCAUCAUAUAGCAUUUAACUCUAAUGUCAUCAUCCAUCCACUUUUGAUGCAUCUGACGCUGAACAUCAGUAGGACGUGUUGGUAGUGUGGGGCUAUCUGAAUCGAGUAUGUAGCCUAUUUUCUCACAGUCCAAAAUAAUUUUGAGGUUUCUAAGCCAGUCCUUGUAAUUGGUUCCGGUCAGUCGGUUGGUCU
rnacentral:lncRNA from 1 species